GACGAACGCUGGCGGCGUGCUUAACACAUGCAAGUCGUACGGUAAGGCCCUUUCGGGGGUACACGAGUGGCGAACGGGUGAGUAACACGUGAGUAACCUGCCCACAACUUUGGGAUAACGCUAGGAAACUGGUGCUAAUACUGGAUAUGUGCUCCUGCUGCAUGGUGGGGGUUGGAAAGCUCCGGCGGUUGUGGAUGGACUCGCGGCCUAUCAGCUUGUUGGUGGGGUAGUGGCCUACCAAGGCGGCGACGGGUAGCCGGCCUGAGAGGGUGACCGGCCACAGUGGGACUGAGAUACGGCCCAGACUCCUACGGGAGGCAGCAGUGGGGAAUAUUGCACAAGGGGCGCAAGCCUGAUGCAGCAACGCCGCGUGCGGGAUGACGGCCUUCGGGUUGUAAACCGCUUUCAGCAGGGACGAAGCUUGUUGUGACGGUACCUGCAGAAGAAGCACCGGCUAACUACGUG
rnacentral:rRNA from 1 species